CAGCCGCCACGGUAAUACGUAGGGUGCAAGCGUUAAUCGGAAUUACUGGGCGUAAAGCGUGCGCAGGCGGUUAUAUAAGACAGAUGUGAAAUCCCCGGGCUCAACCUGGGAACUGCAUUUGUGACUGUAUAGCUAGAGUACGGCAGAGGGGGAUGGAAUUCCGCGUGUAGCAGUGAAAUGCGUAGAUAUGCGGAGGAACACCGAUGGCGAAGGCAAUCCCCUGGGCCUGUACUGACGCUCAUGCACGAAAGCGUGGGGAGCAAACAGGAUUAGGUACCCCAGUAGUCCCUGUCUCUUAUAC
rnacentral:rRNA from 1 species